CUUGCCCAUGGAAGCAUUGCAGGUGUGACUGCUGUGUCACGUGUAUGACAGUAGGUAGCAGAGAGGACAGAGACUAUGCCUACAUUUAGUGUUCUCACCAAUUGUGGGUCUGCGUUC
rnacentral:snoRNA from 1 species